GCUUAACGCGAAGAACCUUACCAGGUCUUGACAUCCCAUUGACCGCUAUGGAGGCAUAGUUUUCCCUUCGGGGACAACGGUGACAGGUGGUGCAUGGUUGUCGUCAGCUCGUGUCGUGAGAUGUUGGGUUAAGUCCCGCAACGAGCGCAACCCUUGUUCUUAGUUGCCAUCAUUUAGUUGGGCACUCUAAGGAGACUGCCGGUGACAAACCGGAGGAAGGGUGGGGAUGACGUCAAAUCAUCAUCGCCCCUUAUGACCGUGGGCUACACACGUGCUACAAUGGACGGUAACUAAACGGUUGCCAACCCGCGAGGGGGAGCUAAUCCGAUAAAACCGUUCUCAGUUCGGAUUGUAGGCUGCAACUCGCCUACAUGAAGCCGGAAUCGCUAGUAAUCGCGGAUCAGCAUGCCGCGGUGAAUACGUUCCCGGGUCUUGUACACACCG
rnacentral:rRNA from 1 species